GUCCACGCCCUAAACGAUGUCUACUAGUUGUCGGGUUUUAAUUAACUUGGUAACGCAGCUAACGCGUGAAGUAGACCGCCUGGGGAGUACGGUCGCAAGAUUAAAACUCAAAGGAAUUGACGGGGACCCGCACAAGCGGUGGAUGAUGUGGAUUAAUUCGAUGCAACGCGAAAACCUUACCUACCCUUGACAUGGCAGGAAUCCCUGAGAGAUUGGGGAGUGCUCGAAAGAGAACCUGCACACAGGUGCUGCAUGGCUGUCGU
rnacentral:rRNA from 1 species